rnacentral:SRP_RNA from 1 species
CGGCGGGCCCCUGCGCAUUGUGGCAUGGUCAACCUGGUCAGGUCGGGAACGAAGCAGCCACAGCCAUUUCCUGCAAGUGCCGCAGACAAGGCUCGCCUCUUC